rnacentral:rRNA from 1 species
GAUAGAGUUGACGAAACUUGCCGGUAUUCAGCCGGUCAGUUCAACGGUUUUGCGGCUUUGUACCUUCAAUUUUGGGGGGCAAUGACGUAAAUGUUGCUGUUGAAUUUAUUGCCACGACUGGUGUAUUUACCGGCGGUAUGCAUCGAGAGCUUUGUUGUUGCAUAUUGACAUAUAUUUAGUGGACCAUAUUAACUUUAAUAUGGAAACCUUGGUAUAUUGAAAUAUGUCUUCGAUGAAGUUACCAUAUGUAUAGUAACUUUCGCUUUGCGGUGCAUCCUUUAUAAUUUCGCUAAUUUCAUUUUAUGCGGUUGCCUGCGACUUGUCAUUAAAUGAUCCUAAUUGGUCGAAUUAUAAAUGUGAUGCGUUAAAGUUACAUCUCGAUGUGAACGUCAAUCACCUAUCCGACCCGUCUUGAAACACGGACCAAGGAGUCUAGCAUAUACGCAAGUUAUUGGGUGGUAAACCUAUCGAAAGGCAUAAUGAAAGUAAAGAUUAUCUCGAUAUAAUUGAUAUGUGAUCCGUAUGUCGCAUGUUUCGUACAUCAACAGACGGAGCAACAUAACCCCGUCCCCGUUGCUUGCAAUAGGGCGGAGGUAGAGCGUAUAUGCUGGGACCCGAAAGAUGGUGAACUAUACCUGAGCAGGAUGAAGCCAGAGGAAACUCUGGUGGAGGUCCGAAGCGAUUCUGACGUGCAAAUCGAUCGUCUGACUUUGGUAUA